UCAUGCCCGCCUGCUGUGGUUAUGGGUGUGCUGACCGUACUGGCAAGGCACCGGGGACGACAUUUCACAAGUUCCCUCACGGCCGCCCAGAACAUUUAAACAAAGUGUGCGGUAAAUGUCAGGCGAAAGGACUGGACGCCGUCGACGACAUCACUGGUCUGCAGCAAACAUUUUAAAAACAAAUGCUUCGACAGAACGGGCCAAACCGUUCGACUGAGGCCUGACGCUGUGCCCAACAAGUUCGACUUCCCAGAACACCUCCAGAAAGUAAUAAUGCAUGCGACAUAUGUAGAGGCCAGAUUUAUAUCCACUAAAAGCUAGUUGAACACA